UGUACAGGAAAAAUUUAAUUUCAAAGAAAAAAAAAUACAAAAAUUUUUAAAAAUUUUGAAAUUUGUCAUCUACAAUCUUUCAUACUAACGAACCAAUGAAUAAACUAGACCAUGAUUAUAAAAUUUAUUCGCCUUCUCUAAAUCAUGAUAAAAAGCAGUAGAACAUCUGCUUAUCGUUACCAUUAUCUACCGAACUUGCGCUGUCGAUAAAUAGCUUUAGAAUGUCUCAGAAACAUUUACAGAGUGUAAUUAAAAAUGAAUUGUGCGAAAAGAGUUACAAGUUAUAAAAUGAAAACCGAAUGACGAAUGCAGUAUUUACGGAAAUUUACAACCCAAAAAAUUGGAUAAAAUGUGCUUUCAACUGCAGAAAACACACCAAAACAAAAGAACGAUUUUGGCAAUCCAGGAAAACAAACAAGAAAAAGAAAGAAGUCCAUCAAGGUGUGGUAAAUAUCCUUAUAUUUAGAUUAUCCAUCACAAGUAAUCCUUAAUAGGUAAAAAGCAAUUUUUGAUCUCCCAGCACGAUAUUCGUAACACAAAGUAAUCUUGCUCUUAACCGUAAUAUUUUAUAUUAUUUUAUACUAUUAUUGAACGAAGUUGCGUCUCAUUCGACAAAGCAAACGUCGAUGGAAUCUGAGCCCGGCUUAGGAGAUUUUAAACCGAAGGCGAAACGAUAACAAUACUUUCGUUCACGAAGCUUGAUUAAACAGUGUGAUCAUAAGCCGAAUAAAACCGAAAGAAAAAAUGUGUUGUAACAUCAAUUUCUUUUAAUUUUUUUUUUGAAAUGGUACUAGUGCUCUCCUGAGUUUAUGACAUAUGAUAGUACAUGAUAAAAUGGAUAAACCUUUUGUGUAUUUUUAAAUUAUGCAUCUUUUCCAUGUUUUUGAAAAUUGUUCUAAAAAGUACUAAUAAAACUUUCUAAGGCUAUAAUUUGAAAACGCUUUUAUCUUCCUUGAACUAAAUGUGCGAUAUAAAAUAAAAUUUUUGAUUCUGAGAAAAUCAGCUGUGACAGACCGAUAGACGCAUGAGUAGUCUUCUAAAGAUUCCGAUUUUCAAAAACAGAAAAAAUGGAAUAUUUAUAAAAAAUAACUACAAAAUAAAUACCCAUUUAUAUAAGAAAUUACCCAAUGACAGCAAAAUCUAUUAAUUGCUGUUAACAAAUAAUCAAUUUAUUAAGUCUAAUUAUAAUUGUAUAUUUAAAUAAAAACAUCUAGUUGUUAAAAUACA
rnacentral:misc_RNA from 1 species